rnacentral:lncRNA from 1 species
ACAAGAGCUCGGCCAGGCGGCCCCGCGGGGUGGUCGUGGCCAUGACAGCGGCUCCAGACGGCUCCCCUUCCACGCCCUUCCCGCCGGAGAUGAGGGGAAGAUGUCUGUGUCAAGAUUCAAGGCCAAACUGAAGUUGCUGGCGUCUAUCUUCCACGAGAACCAGGAGGCUCAGCUGCGGCUCACGCUCCACUGCAACAUGAGAAUGGGACAACAGAAGAAGUGACUUCAGAGGAAGAGGAAGAAGAGGAGAUGGCUGAAACAUAUAGGAGGUCCAGGCAGCAUGAACAGCUCCCUGGUCAGAGACACAUGGAUUUGCUCACUGGUUACUCAAAGCUGAUUCAAAGCCGAUUAAAGCUGCUGCUUCAUCUGGGGUCCUAACCUCCAGUGGGAAAAACAUUCUUCUUUUCCUGCUGGUGUCACCCACUGUUCCACGGAUCCAAAACAACACCCAAUGUUUGGUACAAAUUUAGUGAAACAGCUCUUUCCAUUCUUAACUCAUGCCAAGCAUCUCAGCUUGGGGUCAGGAAAAUGCCAGGGGACAUGAGCUCUUCUCCUAGAGUUAGAGAAUUCUCUGCCUUAGUUGCAAUAAAGGAAAAGAUACACAUUCUUCCUACAAAUGCCAAAGUAGGCUCAAAACUUGGUUCCUAGAGUAGAGUAUUGAAGUCGUGGCAAAGAUCUUUCCAGUGAUCAAAGCAGUGGCUCGUUAUGUUCCCUCAGACUGAAGCUACAGUCUCAUCUUCACUUUCUGUUAGCUCCCUCCAUCCUCUGCGUAGGCCCACACCUGCUUCUUACAGUUGUGUGGAUUAUAGCACCUCCUCUCCAGCCUCAGGACCUUUGUGAGUGCUGCUCCUUCUUCCUUGACUGCUCUUCACCAGGGAUCCUCAGGGCACAGCCCUUACCUCCUGCAAGUCUUGACUUAAAUGUCACUUUCUCAGGGAGGCCCACACUCAUCACCAUUUCACACCCACCUCCCACAUGACCUUAUUUUACCUGUUCUCUCUUCUCCUCUUUUUUUUAGAGUACUUAUGAUCUCAUGUGGUACAUUUUGGGGUUUUUGGUUCUUCUGUAUCCGCCACUGCCAUGAUCAGUUAGAAUGUUGGAAAUCAAGGAAACUUGGUUUUUUGGCCUGUGAUGAAAACUAUGGGGUCUAAUAGUAUCUGAUAAAGUGGCAGACCCUCAAUUAUUAUUUGCUGAGUAAAUGAAUGAAGGUGUGUAGACAACUAGCUCUAGAAGCUUAAAUGAGUGAUACCAUGUUUUAUAAUAUUGGAAGAGGCCGGGAAUGGUGGCUCACGCCUGUAAUCUCAGCAUUUUGGGAGGCCAAGGUGGAUGGAUCUCUUGAGGUCAGGAGUUUGAGACCAGCCUGGCCAACAUGGUGAAACCUUGUCUCUACUAAAAAUGCAAAAAUUAGCUGGACGUGGUGGCACACGCCUGUAAUCCCAGCUACUCUGGAGGCUGAGGCACAGCAUCACUUGAACCCAGGAGGCAGAGGUUGCAGUGAGCUGAGAUGGUGCCACUGCACUCCAGCCUGGGCAACAGAGUGAGACUCUGUCUCCAAAAACAGAAAAAAGAAAGGGGGGGAAGAAAAGAAGAAGAAGGAAGAGGAAAGGGAGGAGGAGGAUUUAUCAUUCACUUACACUAGAAACAGUGAAAAUAGAUAAUAGCUAUAAUUUACUCACAUCUUAUCUAAAACACAAAUUCAGGGUAAUUUAUGAGCAAGUCAUUUUCCAGUGGGCUUUCGAUAGUGUGUGAAUUUGGAAUGAAUGCUGGUACUUCCAGCUCCCUUCCACCUGCAGCACCAGGAAGCCAUUGUUGUGGGGAGGCCACCAACUUGGCUGGCAUGUUGCUUCUGCCUCAGUUAGUGAUGAUGGUGAUUUGGAGAGAAAGGACACUCUGCUAGGCUCCAAAUCCAAAGGAUCAAGUGGAUAAAUGAAAUGAAUAUCUAAAUAAAUAUCAAUUAGGUCAAAAGUUUGUUUUCAUCUAAAUGAAAUCUGAACACUACUUAGGGCUAUGAAACAUAGCCAGAGGACAUGGCCAGCUCUGGAGUGGGGCCUGGACUUGCUCUCCCCUGCUGGAAGUGCUUUUCCUCCCAGAGCUCAGAGCACCAUGUGCGUGUGACCCCUGCCUUUUCACAGGCCAUUGCCACAGGGCAUCUCCCUGGUCCACCCGCCCCAAGAUGAGCCAGCCUCCCACUCAGGAAUUGGGUGGGGAAGGGAAAGAAAGACAGAGGAGAGAGAGACAGUCACACACAGGCAGUGGAGCUCCCCUGCACCCACCAGGGAGCUUGAGCAGCUCAUCUGCAGAGCAGGGAAACAUUUUUACUACCAUUGGGAAGACGCUGAGCAGAGAGGUGAGGGGACAGCAUUUCUUG